ensembl:lncRNA
AUCCUGAAUUUCCUGCAGAAAAAAAAAAGCUGCUUGUUAGCACCAAUGCUAAUCUGAAAAAAUUGAUGCUAACACUCUGUGAAGUAGAAAAAAGAAAGAACUUGGGGAUUUUCCUAUCUCCUUUUACUUUUGGUUUCACAGGAAGCACCGUCCCACUCACCACUCGUGUCUGCACAGAGCAGAGCACUGUGUGUGCUGUCCCCAGGACCACGCUGCCUGCCAAGACCUCUGCCCACUGCCACCAGCACUAUGUCAAGCUCAAGCAGCAGUUCGGAGAAAACAAUUGAGAUGAAAAAUUUCCUUCUACACGAUGUCCUGCCUGAUCAUGAACGUAUUUUUAUGGAGGUACCAGAGAACAGCAUAAAGAUUGGGGACAUAGUGCUUUUCAACAUGGAGUCCAGCAGCAGUACUUCAACCAUCUUCAAGCACGCAACUGUCUAUUGUGGGGAGGGGGAGGUCAUCCACUUCCAGAAUAUCGAAAAAUCAAGUAAAGGGCGAAUAAGCAAAGAAGGAUUCCUGAUUAUGAGACAUCAGAGGGGGAAAUGCAAGGUUCUCAGGAAAAGGGAGGGGUUCAACCAUGAGACGUUCAAGAAGAAAGUCAAGGAGCUGAUGAACAGCACAGCCAAUUACAACUUAGUGAACAACAACUGCAUCAACUUUGCUCUCUAUCUGCUGGAUGUGGGGGAUUUCAGCUUUCAGUCCCCAAAUAGUCAUGGAGAGGAACCUGUCCUCGCAAGAUUGACUGAUAGAGUCUCCAAGGAGCAUUGGGUCCCCAAGAAGGGCUGUGUCUGCAAGGAGGGUUGGGUCCCCAAAGUGGGUCCUCCAGAGAAGCCACCUCCCUUCAUCUUCAU